GUCUAUGGCCAUGCUACCCUGAACAAGCUGGAUCCCUUGUGAUCUCGGAAGCUAAGCAGAGUCAGGCCUGGUUAGUACUUGAAUGAGAGACCACCUAGGAAGACCAGGUGCUGUAGGCG
rnacentral:rRNA from 1 species